UGCAGUCGAGCGGUUCCUUCGGGGAAGCGUGGACGGAUGAGUAACACGUGGAAACGUGCCCUUUGGUCCGCAUUAACUCGGGGAACUUGAGCUAAUACCGGAUACGUCCGAGAGGAGAACGAUUUAUCGCCAAUGGAUCGGCCCGCGGCCGAUUACCUAAUUGGUGGGGUAACAGCCUACCACUGCGACGAGGGGUAACUGGUCUGAGAGCUGAUAUCCCACACUGGGACUGAAACACGAUCCACACUCCUACGGCUGGCACACGUGGGGAAUAUUGGACAAUGGGCGCAAGCCUGAUCCAUGCAUGCCGCGUGAGUGAUGAAUGCCCUAGUGUUGUAAAGCUCUUUUAUCCCGGACGAUUGUGACGGUACUUUGUCCAAUAAGCCCCGGCUAACUUCGUGCCCUUCGCCGCGAUUAAUACUAAGGGGGCUAGCGUUGCUCGCUAAUCACUGGGCCGUAAAGGGCGCGUAUACGGACGUUUAAAUCAGUUACUGAAAUCCCCGGGCUCAACCUCGGAAUUGCCUUUGAUACUGGAUGUCUCGAGACCUCACCAGGUAAGUGGAACUGCGAGUGUUGAGGUGAGAUUCAUCUAUAUUUCGCAAGAACACCAGUGGAAUUCGCGGCUUACUGG
rnacentral:rRNA from 1 species